rnacentral:lncRNA from 1 species
AACAACUUGUCGAGGGUGUUAAUCACUAACAAAAACAACAUGAGAAGAGUGGGCUUGCCUGAGGCGACUUUUUUUCUUGUUCUGCGUAUUUUUUAAGACGAGCGACAUAAAUUGAACGGAAAAUAGGAUGAUUAUGGUUUACAAUGUAAUUUUAUUUGUUGCUGAACUUGUGUGUGUAUGUGUGUGUGUUGAAUUGUUCUAUUUCAUUGUAUUGAAUAAUUUUUUGAUUGUCAUUUACCAAAUACAGGGUACACUUUG